GCACGGAGUUAGCCGGUGCUUCUUCUGCGCUAGUAACGUCACAGAUUGCUGGGUAUUAGCCAACAACCUUUCCUCCUCGCUGAAAGUGCUUUACAACCCGAAGGCCUUCUUCACACACGCGGCAUGGCUGCAUCAGGGUUUCCCCCAUUGUGCAAUAUUCCCCA
rnacentral:rRNA from 1 species